rnacentral:rRNA from 1 species
GACGAACGCUGGCGGCGUGCUUAACACAUGCAAGUCGAGCGGAGCGGCGAACGGGUGAGUAACGCGUGAGUAACUGCCCCCCUCUCUGGGAUAACAGUUGGAAACGGCUGCUAAUACCGGAUAGUGGGGGAUGACUCGCGUCCUAUCAGCUGGUUGGUGGGGUAGUGGCCUACCAAGGCGAAGACGGGUAGCCGGCCUGAGAGGGCGACCGGCCACAUGGGGCUGGGAGACGGACAAAACUCCUACGGGAGGCAGCAGGGAGGAAUAUUGCACAAUUGGGGAAACUCUGAUGUAGCAACGCGGGUGCGGGAUGACGGCCGUCGGGGUGUAAACCGCUUUCAGCCAUGACGCGGUAGUGGCAGAAGAAGCACCGGCUAACUACGUGCCAGCAGCCGCGGUAAUUC